UGAGGAAUAUUGGUCAAUGGGCGAGAGCCUGAACCAGCCAAGUAGCGUGCAGGAUGACGGCCCUAUGGGUUGUAAACUGCUUUUAUGUGGGGAUAAAGUGCGUGACGUGUCAUGCAUUGCAGGUACCACAUGAAUAAGGACCGGCUAAUUCCGUGCCAGCAGCCGCGGUAAUACGGAAGGUCCGGGCGUUAUCCGGAUUUAUUGGGUUUAAAGGGAGCGUAGGCUGUCUAUUAAGCGUGUUGUGAAAUAUACCGGCUCAACCGGUGGCUUGCAGCGCGAACUGGUCGACUUGAGUAUGCAGGAAGUAGGCGGAAUUCAUGGUGUAGCGGUGAAAUGCUUAGAUAUCAUGACGAACUCCGAUUGCGCAGGCAGCUUACUGUGGCAUAACUGACGCUGAUGCUCGAAAGUGCGGGUAUCAAACAGG
rnacentral:rRNA from 1 species